rnacentral:rRNA from 1 species
UGGGGAAUAUUGCACAAUGGGCGAAAGCCUGAUGCAGCAACGCCGCGUGAGUGAUGAAGGCCUUCGGGUUGUAAAGCUCUGUCUUUUGGGACGAUAAUGACGGUACCAAAGGAGGAAGCCACGGCUAACUACGUGCCAGCAGCCGCGGUAAUACGUAGAUGGCAAGCGUUGUCCGGAUUUACUGGGCGUAAAGGAUGCGUAGGCGGAUUUUUAAGUGAGAUGUGAAAUACCCGGGCUUAACUUGGGUGCUGCAUUUCAAACUGGGAAUCUAGAGUGCGGGAGAGGAGAAUGGAAUUCCUAGUGUAGCGGUGAAAUGCGUAGAGAUUAGGAAGAACACCAGUGGCGAAGGCGAUUCUCUGGACCGUAACUGACGCUGAGGCAUGAAAGCGUGGGUAGCAAACAGGAUUAGAUACCCUGGUAGUCCACGCCGUAAACGAUGAGUACUAGGUGUAGGAGGUAUCGACCCCUUCUGUGCCGCAGUUAACACAAUAAGUACUCCGCCUGGGAAGUACGAUCGCAAGAUUAAAACUCAAAUGAAUUGAC